rnacentral:rRNA from 1 species
AGGUAGUUGGUGAGGUAACGGCCCACCAAGCCGACGAUCGGUAGCCGACCUGAGAGGGUGAUCGGCCACAUUGGGACUGAGACACGGCCCAAACUCCUACGGGAGGCAGCAGUGGGAAUAUUGGGCAAUGGAAGAAACUCUGACCCAGCAACGCCGCGUGGAGGAAGAAGGUUUUCGGAUCGUAAACUCCUGUCCUUGGAGACGAGUAGAAGACGGUAUCCAAGGAGGAAGCCCCGGCUAACUACGUGCCAGCAGCCGCGGUAAUACGUAGGGGGCAAGCGUUGUCCGGAAUAAUUGGGCGUAAAGGGCGCGUAGGCGGCUCGGUAAGUCUGGAGUGAAAGUCCUGCUUUUAAGGUGGGAAUUGCUUUGGAUACUGUCGGGCUUGAGUGCAGGAGAGGUUGUGGAAUUCCCAGUGUAGCGGUGAAAUGCGUAGAGAUUGGGAGGAACACCAGUGGCGAAGGCGACUAACUGGACUGUAACUGACGCUGAGGCGCGAAAGUGUGGGGAGCAAACAGGAUUAGAUACCCUGGUAGUCCACACUGUAAACGAUGAAUGCUAGGUGUAGGGGGUAUCGACCCCUUCUGUGCCGCAGUCAACACAAUAAGCAUUCCGCCUGGGGAGUACGGCCGCAAGGUUGAAACUCAAAGGAAUUGACGGGGGCCCGCACAAGCAGCGGAGCAUGUGGUUUAAUUCGACGCAACGCGAAGAACCUUACCAGGUCUUGACAUCCACUUAAACUUACAGAGAUGUAAGGUGUGCUUGCACAAAGUGAGACAGGUGGUGCAUGGUUGUCGUCAGCUCGUGUCGUGAGAUGUUGGGUUAAGUCCCGCAACGAGCGCAACCCUUAUCUUCAGUUACUAACGCGUAAAGGUGAGGACUCUGAAGAGACUGCCGGGGACAACUCGGAGGAAGGUGGGGACGACGUCAAAUCAUCAUGCCCCUUAUGACCUGGGCUACACACGUGCUACAAUGGCCACGACAGAGAGAAGCGAAAUCGCAAGGUAGAGCGGAACUCAAAAAAGUGGUCCCAGUUCGGAUUGUGGGCUGCAACCCGCCCACAUGAAGUCGGAGUUGCUAGUAAUCGCGGAUCAGCAUGCCGCGGUGAAUACGUUCCCGGGCCUUGUACACACCGCCCGUCACACCAUGGGAGUUGGGAGUGCCCAAAGCCGGUGAGGCAACCGCAAGGAGCCAGCCGUCUAAGGCAAGACCAAUGACUGGGGUGAAGUCGUAACAAGGUAGCCGUAUCGGAAGGUGCGGCUG